GGGCAAUGGGCGGCGUGCUAUACAUGCAAGUCGAACGAACUCUGGUAUUGAUUGGUGCUUGCAUCAUGAUUUACAUUUGAGUGAGUGGCGAACUGGUGAGUAACACGUGGGAAACCUGCCCAGAAGCGGGGGAUAACACCUGGAAACAGAUGCUAAUACCGCAUAACAACUUGGACCGCAUGGUCCGAGUUUGAAAGAUGGCUUCGGCUAUCACUUUUGGAUGGUCCCGCGGCGUAUUAGCUAGAUGGUGGGGUAACGGCUCACCAUGGCAAUGAUACGUAGCCGACCUGAGAGGGUAAUCGGCCACAUUGGGACUGAGACACGGCCCAAACUCCUACGGGAGGCAGCAGUAGGGAAUCUUCCACAAUGGACGAAAGUCUGAUGGAGCAACGCCGCGUGAGUGAAGAAGGGUUUCGGCUCGUAAAACUCUGUUGUUAAAGAAGAACAUAUCUGAGAGUAACUGUUCAGGUAUUGACGGUAUUUAACCAGAAAGCCACGGCUAACUACGUGCCAGCAGCCGCGGUAAUACGUAGGUGGCAAGCGUUGUCCGGAUUUAUUGGGCGUAAAGCGAGCGCAGGCGGUUUUUUAAGUCUGAUGUGAAAGCCUUCGGCUCAACCGAAGAAGUGCAUCGGAAACUGGGAAACUUGAGUGCAGAAGAGGACAGUGGAACUCCAUGUGUAGCGGUGAAAUGCGUAGAUAUAUGGAAGAACACCAGUGGCGAAGGCGGCUGUCUGGUCUGUAACUGACGCUGAGGCUCGAAAGUAUGGGUAGCAAACAGGAUUAGAUACCCUGGUAGUCCAUACCGUAAACGAUGAAUGCUAAGUGUUGGAGGGUUUCCGCCCUUCAGUGCUGCAGCUAACGCAUUAAGCAUUCCGCCUGGGGAGUACGGCCGCAAGGCUGAAACUCAAAGGAAUUGACGGGGGCCCGCACAAGCGGUGGAGCAUGUGGUUUAAUUCGAAGCUACGCGAAGAACCUUACCAGGUCUUGACAUACUAUGCAAAUCUAAGAGAUUAGACGUUCCCUUCGGGGACAUGGAUACAGGUGGUGCAUGGUUGUCGUCAGCUCGUGUCGUGAGAUGUUGGGUUAAGUCCCGCAACGAGCGCAACCCUUAUUAUCAGUUGCCAGCAUUAAGUUGGGCACUCUGGUGAGACUGCCGGUGACAAACCGGAGGAAGGUGGGGAUGACGUCAAAUCAUCAUGCCCCUUAUGACCUGGGCUACACACGUGCUACAAUGGAUGGUACAACGAGUUGCGAACUCGCGAGAGUAAGCUAAUCUCUUAAAGCCAUUCUCAGUUCGGAUUGUAGGCUGCAACUCGCCUACAUGAAGUCGGAAUCGCUAGUAAUCGCGGAUCAGCAUGCCGCGGUGAAUACGUUCCCGGGCCUUGUACACACCGCCCGUCACACCAUGAGAGUUUGUAACACCCAAAGUCGGUGGGGUAACCUUUUAGGAACCAGCCGCCUAAAGGGGGA
rnacentral:rRNA from 1 species